rnacentral:rRNA from 1 species
ACGCUGGCGGCGUGCCUAAUACAUGCAAGUCGAGCGAACGGACGAGAAGCUUGCUUCUCUGAUGUUAGCGGCGGACGGGUGAGUAACACGUGGAUAACCUACCUAUAAGACUGGGAUAACUUCGGGAAACCGGAGCUAAUACCGGAUAAUAUUUUGAACCGCAUGGUUCAAAAGUGAAAGACGGUCUUGCUGUCACUUAUAGAUGGAUCCGCGCUGCAUUAGCUAGUUGGUAAGGUAACGGCUUACCAAGGCAACGAUGCAUAGCCGACCUGAGAGGGUGAUCGGCCACACUGGAACUGAGACACGGUCCAGACUCCUACGGGAGGCAGCAGUAGGGAAUCUUCCGCAAUGGGCGAAAGCCUGACGGAGCAACGCCGCGUGAGUGAUGAAGGUCUUCGGAUCGUAAAACUCUGUUAUUAGGGAAGAACAUAUGUGUAAGUAACUGUGCACAUCUUGACGGUACCUAAUCAGAAAGCCACGGCUAACUACGUGCCAGCAGCCGCGGUAAUACGUAGGUGGCAAGCGUUAUCCGGAAUUAUUGGGCGUAAAGCGCGCGUAGGCGGUUUUUUAAGUCUGAUGUGAAAGCCCACGGCUCAACCGUGGAGGGUCAUUGGAAACUGGAAAACUUGAGUGCAGAAGAGGAAAGUGGAAUUCCAUGUGUAGCGGUGAAAUGCGCAGAGAUAUGGAGGAACACCAGUGGCGAAGGCGACUUUCUGGUCUGUAACUGACGCUGAUGUGCGAAAGCGUGGGGAUCAAACAGGAUUAGAUACCCUGGUAGUCCACGCCGUAAACGAUGAGUGCUAAGUGUUAGGGGGUUUCCGCCCCUUAGUGCUGCAGCUAACGCAUUAAGCACUCCGCCUGGGGAGUACGACCGCAAGGUUGAAACUCAAAGGAAUUGACGGGGACCCGCACAAGCGGUGGAGCAUGUGGUUUAAUUCGAAGCAACGCGAAGAACCUUACCAAAUCUUGACAUCCUUUGACAACUCUAGAGAUAGAGCCUUCCCCUUCGGGGGACAAAGUGACAGGUGGUGCAUGGUUGUCGUCAGCUCGUGUCGUGAGAUGUUGGGUUAAGUCCCGCAACGAGCGCAACCCUUAAGCUUAGUUGCCAUCAUUAAGUUGGGCACUCUAAGUUGACUGCCGGUGACAAACCGGAGGAAGGUGGGGAUGACGUCAAAUCAUCAUGCCCCUUAUGAUUUGGGCUACACACGUGCUACAAUGGACAAUACAAAGGGCAGCGAAACCGCGAGGUCAAGCAAAUCCCAUAAAGUUGUUCUCAGUUCGGAUUGUAGUCUGCAACUCGACUACAUGAAGCUGGAAUCGCUAGUAAUCGUAGAUCAGCAUGCUACGGUGAAUACGUUCCCGGGUCUUGUACACACCGCCCGUCACACCACGAGAGUUUGUAACACCCGAAGCCGGUGGAGUAACCUUUUAGGAGCUAGCCGUCGAAGGUGGGACAAAUGAUUGGGGUGAAGUCGUAACAAGGUAGCCGUAUCGGAAGGUGCGGCUG